rnacentral:rRNA from 1 species
AACGUAGGUGGCGAGCGUUAUCCGGAUUCAUUGGGCGUAAAGAGCUUGUAGGCGGCGUCAUAAGUUGGACGUGAAAACUCCGGGCUUAACUUGGAGAGGCCGUUCAAUACUGUGAGGCUAGAGGGUGUCAGAGGGAAGUAGAAUUCCUGGUGUAGCAGUGAAAUGCGUAGAUAUCAGGAGGAAUACCCGUGGCGAAGGCGGCUUCCCUGGGGCACCACUGACGCUGAGAAGCGAAAGCUAGGGGGAGCAAACGGG